UACGGGGGGGGCAAGCGUUGUUCGGAAUUACUGGGCGUAAAGGGUUCGUAGGUGGCCAACUUAGUCAGACGUGAAAUCCCUCAGCUUAACUGGGGAACUGCGUCUGAUACUGGAUGGCUCGAGUGCAGGAGAGGAACGCGGAAUUCCAGGUGUAGCGGUGAAAUGCGUAGAUAUCUGGAGGAACACCGGUGGCGAAGGCGGCGUCCUGGACCAACACUGACACUGAUGAGCGAAAGCCAGGGGAGCAAACAGG
rnacentral:rRNA from 1 species